UACGGGGGGAGCAAACGUUGUUCGGAAUCACUGGGCGUAAAGGGCGUGUAGGCGGCUGAAUAAGUGGGAUGUUAAAUCCCCCGGCUCAACCGGGGACCUGCAUCUCAUACUGUUCAGCUCGAGCACAUCAGAGGAGACUGGAAUUCCCGGUGUAGCGGUGAAAUGCGUAGAGAUGUGGAGGAACACCAGUGGCGAAGGCGGCUUUUUGGUCUGUAACUGACGCUGAGGCGCGAAAGCGUGGGGAGCAAACAGG
rnacentral:rRNA from 1 species